CACGGACUUCCGCGUUAAGAUGGAGUGGAGGAGGAGGGAAAAAAAACAGGAGAAUUAACGAAUUUAAAGGACAGGCGGCGCACGCGGGCGCGCCGAGGGCUGCGCACUACUAAAGAGACGAGGAUGAGGAGGCGGUAAACAAGCAGCAUUUACUCAUGAGUCCUACCUGCUGCUGGUGACCUGGACCAGGACCGACUUUAAUCAGAAGCUGCACGGCACCACUUCACUUACGGCUGCGGCACCUGAUUGCCUGAUUGAACACACCUGAUCCAGGCUAUUAGUGGUGAGAGGAGGGGGGGGGGGGCUUACUGAGUGCACACGCACUUGAAAAUGACGAUGACACACCAAAUGGUCUAUAAGUGUUUUGCUGUGUGAUACUUUAUGGCUCUGUACAGUAGAUUUUCUCUCAUGAGACUAAACUACCGAAUGGGCUCCACUCUGCUGUGUUCACACAGUCUGGUUCUCCAGACCUCACUUCCUGCCCAGUGUACUGUAGCGACAAACUGUAGUGUCACUUAUCAAAUGAGGCGCCGUGGCCUCUGACCACUCAAAGCCUCGGCUCUGUCUGUGUGAGACCUGUCAUUGUGUUUGGGCCUAUUACCGAUGCACAGUGGGCCGCUCCGUCCUUGGGGUGGGACAACGGCGCCUCUAUGUUCUGUGUGGACGGGCCGGGCACCUCAGAAGUGACUGCCAAACGGCCAUCCAGAGCCUCUGAGCCCGAGGGACGUGUUAAAUGUGCAAAGUCUAAGAGGAACACAGCUGUCAUAACAAUAGCAGAGCCGCCUUUUCACUGGAUUUACUGCAAAAUGACUUUUUAAGAGGGACAUGUUGACUCAAGCCCACGCACCAAAACCCCCGGAUUCAUUGGAACAGAUUAGAUCAGGGUGUGUUCCUUGACCCACGGAGCAGUGGAUACUGUAAGUGGAGCCACUUCCCAUUGUUUGCGCAGACAGUUCGCAAAAAGGAGGAAGCAGAUACAGGGAGAGAGAAAAGCAGGUGGGAGGAGAUAAAGGGGGGCGUAAGGAGACGGAGGGAGGAGAGUUGGUCCCUGGAGGUCUGAGGGAUCGUUAGAGGAGGACACGGCAGCGAACAGGGCGUCUUGUGCACCGUCAGACACGUUGAACUCGUUAGUCCGGUUCGGCUUCAUUGUCGUGUGUUGUGUGGCGGCUCUAAGAACAUGUGAGUCAGCGUGUUCUUAUUAGACAUGGGCACAGCACCUGUACGACCUCACAACGAGCCAGAUGGAGGAAACAGACAGAUGUGGGUGUAAGUUUGUAAAUGCGUCCCAUGGAAACGCUUUAUUGCGCCGCGCGUUGACGCAUAUUCAGCUGGAUUCUGUGGUUUUGUGCGGCGUUCCUGUUGCCUGGUUUCACUAUAAUCACUGUUCCUCAUUGUGGAACAUGCAAACUUCACAGUUAGCUUCUCUUCCCGAAGGUGGUUUAGUGAUUGAGAACAACCGCAAACACUGGUAACAAGACAAAACAAUCAGAUUUAGAUUGAAAAAGCACAGUAAUUAUAUUUGUACAUGCAAACAGGAAAUCAUAGUAAUAUAAUAUUUUAAGAUGAUACUCAUGUUUCCUUUCCACAACUGUACGCGCCGGGACUGACUUCCUACCACAAAAGCCAUGUUUAUUAACAGAAAGAGCAGCCAUUGUUGUUCCCUGUGUGCAAAAUAUAGACUCGCCAAACUUGGCUUGGUUUCACGAGGCAGUGGGAACAAUCCAGAAACAGAAAAUAUGCAUUUGGUUGCUGUGUGUGCGUGUGCACAUGCGUGUGUGUGUGUGUGUGUGUGUGGAACCGAGGACGAUUGCUCCACCAGAGAAACAGAGGGAAGCGAUUCAAAUGCUCAGACAAAAAAGCCUGUACAUGUCCCUGAAAGUAUGCUGAGAAUGAGCAGGAUGAGAGGGACGUCCAGUGAUGAAGCAAGGUCAAGCCAACACCCACUGGAGUCUUCACCACUCAUAACGUCAGCCGGCUGGCAGAUGUUUGCAGGUUCAGGGUUUAUUUCCAUUUAGAGCUCACUGAGGUCAUGACGCUCAGCUUUGGGCCGUUCAGUGAAUUCAUCUGUAUUGUAUCAAGUUUAAAUAUUGUUCAUUGUUGUUCCAGGAGCUUUGGUGAACUCCAUCCUUUUUAAAAAAAAGCCCCUCUCUACGUCUCAGACAGACUAAGCAGUAUUCCAGCAGUAUAUGCAGCUCUGUCCAAUUAUCUGGGAUCAAAGCCAGACAACAUGAAGGAGAAAAGUAAGGAUAAAAACAGCGAGACGUGACUGGGGUCAGGGAUUGUCUGCUGCACACGACGCCAUCCAGAGUAAAUAAUAAGCGGUGCCCCCGACUUUUAUUCCAACCUUCAACUCAGUGACUCACCAUCGAAGCAUGACAUUUAUGUGAUUACAUAAAGUGCUCUCAUAGUUGCCAGUUGUAAAAUUAUCUGCUCUCCACUUCUGUGGGUUAGUUUGUAUUUGUGCAUGUGUGCACAAACAGAGGAAUUUAAGUGCUCUCCCCUUAUGAAGUGCGCAUGUGGAAACAAGUGAGGAAAGGCCCAGAGGGAUCAAUUCAAAACCAGAAUGUUUUGUGUGAUGAAAUCCUGUUGGAAAUAACAAAAAGUGAUUGACAAUCAGUCACUACUGUUUGUAAUAUACUCACACACCUAGUGCAAAUUAACAGCUGAUGUGUGAGGCAACAUACUACGUUUAAUUAUAGGUGUUAACUUGCUGUAGCAAACACAAGCACUGCUUGAAAUUAAGGACGUGGUUUAGUAGGAAGAUCAGAGGUUUAUCAUGGACCAAGUGCUAAUGAAGAAAAACAUCAACUAUAUUUUCAUAAUCUCAGUGUGAGCUGAAAGGAUGAUGGUGGGGAAGUCUAAUGCUCAACAGGUUGGGGGGGGGAAAGUCCUCGUUGCUUAGGAACAGCAAAUGAGAUGAGAACUAUUACGACGAGUGACAGUAAAGGUCAAACAUUCAAUGUGCAAAUAAUGAGGAACCGGAAGAGCAAAACUGCAGUACAGCGCAAGGAAAUGAGAGGAAAUUAGAAGUGGACUAACUGUAAGAGAGUUCAACAUGUCCUGAUGAAUUUAAAAACCAGUCAUCUGGAAAUAGAAAGUGAUUGUAGAGUGUGAUGGGAUACGCAUGAAUCAGUGUGUACAGAGGGAAAAAAACUUUAUUAGACCAAAUGCAUUUAGAGACUAUAUCAGCAUUUAAAGAUGUUGCAACAGCUGAGCAAUAAAAAAAACACUUAAAAAAAAGAAAGACUUUUUUUUAUGGCAACCACCGCACUUUAGACACGUCAUAAAUACCGUACCCCCGCCCGACCCCCACCCGUCCAGAUACAAUUUAAUCUAUAUGCAGAUAAACAAUUACAGCUGACAUUCACACCAACACACACUGCAUAUUUGCUAUUUCAAAGCCAACUUUGAAUUUAAAUAAGUACUAUUCAUUAAUAAAUAUUAAGUAUUCCAUCAGUAGGCGGGUAUAUUGUCAUAUAGGAAAAGAAAGAUUAGUAAUGUCGGUAGGUAUGUGCUUGUGUAGGAAAUACAAGUAAAAAUGUGAAAUAUAAAAAAAUGUUGAAGAUACAA